GGUUUCCGUAGGUGAACCUGCGGAAGGAUCAUUACCGAUGUAAUCCAAAGGCACGACUCCGUCGUGACUACCGUGUGAACCGUACCAAACUAUUCAGGGGUCGGUCAGUCCGUUAAAUGGCGGUCGGACGCGUGCAUUGCGCGCGGCCGCUCCGCCAGCCCCGCCUGUGUUUUUUAACAUACGUGUCUUGUCUGAAAACGUGACCACUGCCGUGGUCCAGAGCAAAAAAGAGAGAGACAACUUUUGACGGUGGAUCUCUUGGCUCACGCAUCGAUGAAGAACGCAGCCAGCUGCGAUAAGUAGUGUGAAUUGCAGAAUUCAGUGAAUCAUCGAAUCUUUGAACGCAAAUGGCGCUCUUGGGUUCUCCCAGGAGCAUGUCUGUCUGAGUGUCGGAUAUCAUCCAACGCACCUAGCCGUGCGGCGUUGAGGCGUCACGGCCCUCCUGCCGGCCGUGUCCCUUGAAAGUCAGCGAGACUCGCCGCGGCACGGGUUCGUACCCUGCACACUCGCGGAGGCUAAAAACGCUUUUGCCCUUCGCGUGCACGGGAGCGGCCCGCCCGCCGAGUCGCGGAGGCGAAAUAUGUUCUACUCUUGACCUCAGAUCAGG
rnacentral:rRNA from 1 species